rnacentral:rRNA from 1 species
UGGGGAAUCUUGGACAAUGGGGGCAACCCUGAUCCAGCGACGCCGCGUGGGUGAUGAAGGCCUUCGGGUUGUAAAGCCCUUUCGACGGGGACGAUGAUGACGGUACCCGGCGAAGAAGCACCGGCUAACUCCGUGCCAGCAGCCGCGGUAAGACGGAGGGUGCUAGCGUUGUUCGGAAUCACUGGGCGUAAAGGGCGCGUAGGCGGCCUUUGGUGUCGGAUGUGAAAGCCCGGGGCUCAACUCCGGAGGUGCAUCCGAAACUCGAAGGCUGGAGGCCGGAAGAGGAGGGUGGAAUACCCAGUGUAGAGGUGAAAUUCGUAGAUAUUGGGUGGAACACCGGUGGCGAAAGCGGCUCUCUGGUCCGGUCCUGACGCUGAGGCGCGAAAGCGUGGGGAGCAAACAGGAUUAGAUACCCCCGUAGUCC